rnacentral:rRNA from 1 species
CGCCCCUUCGGGGAGCGGGUUGCUGGCCUCCUAUGUUCCUAACGGUCCUCAUCCGCGAGGGUGGGGAAUCAACCGCUAGGAUCGUUUACUUUGAGGAAAUUAGAGUGUUCAAAGCAGGCGUAACUCGCCUCCGAAUACGUUAGCAUGGGAUAAUGGAAUACGACUUCGGUCUUGUUUCGUUGGUUUCGCUUGGCUGAAGUAAUGAUUGAUAGGGACAGUUGGGGGCAUUAGUAUUUAGUUGUCAGAGGUGAAAUUCUAGGAUUUACUAAAGACUGACCAAUGCGAAAGCAUUUGCCAAGGAUGUUUUCAUUAAUCAAGAACGAAAGUAGGGGGAUCGAAGACGAUCAGAUACCGUCGUAGUCUCUACCGUAAACUAUGCCGACCAGGGAUCCGGAGAGUUUGCAUGGAUGACUCCCCGGGCACCUUGUGAGAAAUCAUAAGUGUUUGGGUUUUGGGGGGAGUAUGGUCGCAAGGCUGAAACUUAAAGGAAUUGACGGAAGGGCACCACCAGGAGUGGAACCUGCGGCUUAAUUUGACUCAACACGGGGAAACUUACGAGGUCAGGACACUGUGAGGAUUGACAGAUUGAAAGCUCUUUCUUGAUUCAGUGGGUGGUGGUGCAUGGCCUCUAGUU